GACGAACGCUGGCGGCGUGCUUAACACAUGCCAGUCGAACGGUGAAGCCCUUCGGGGUGGAUCAGUGGCGAACGGGUGAGUAACACGUGAGCAACCUGCCCCUGGCUCUGGGACAACCACUGGAAACGGUGGCUAAUACCGGAUACGACCCGCCUCGGCAUCGAGUGUGGGUGGAAAGUUUUUCGGCUGGGGAUGGGCUCGCGGCCUAUCAGCUUGUUGGUGAGGUGAAGGCUCACCAAGGCGACGACGGGUAGCCGGCCUGAGAGGGCGACCGGCCACACUGGGACUGAGACACGGCCCAGACUCCUACGGGAGGCAGCAGUGGGGAAUACUGCACAAUGGGCGAAAGCCUGAUGCAGCGACGCCGCGUGAGGGAUGACGGCCUUCGGGUUGUAAACCUCUUUCAGCUCCGAAGAAGCGAAAGUGACGGUAGGAGCAGAAGAAGCACCGGCUAACUACGUG
rnacentral:rRNA from 1 species